rnacentral:rRNA from 1 species
AGAGUUUGAUCCUGGCUCAGAUUGAACGCUGGCGGCAUGCCUUACACAUGCAAGUCGAACGGUAACAGGUUAAGCUGACGAGUGGCGAACGGGUGAGUAAUAUAUCGGAACGUGCCCAGUCGUGGGGGAUAACUGCUCGAAAGAGCAGCUAAUACCGCAUACGACCUGAGGGUGAAAGCGGGGGAUCGCAAGACCUCGCGCGACUGGAGCGGCCGAUAUCAGAUUAGGUAGUUGGUGGGGUAAAGGCUCACCAAGCCAACGAUCUGUAGCUGGUCUGAGAGGACGACCAGCCACACUGGGACUGAGACACGGCCCAGACUCCUACGGGAGGCAGCAGUGGGGAAUUUUGGACAAUGGACGAAAGUCUGAUCCAGCCAUGCCGCGUGCGGGAAGAAGGCCUUCGGGUUGUAAACCGCUUUUGUCAGGGAAGAAACGGCUUUUUCUAAUACAGAGAGCUAAUGACGGUACCUGAAGAAUAAGCACCGGCUAACUACGUGCCAGCAGCCGCGGUAAUACGUGGUGCAAGCGUUAAUCGGAAUUACUGGGCGUAAAGCGUGCGCAGGCGGUUAUGCAAGACAGAGGUGAAAUCCCCGGGCUCAACCUGGGAACUGCCUUUGUGACUGCAUAGCUAGAGUACGGUAGAGGGGGAUGGAAUUCCGCGUGUAGCAGUGAAAUGCGUAGAUAUGCGGAGGAACACCGAUGGCGAAGGCAAUCCCCUGGACCUGUACUGACGCUCAUGCACGAAAGCGUGGGGAGCAAACAGGAUUAGAUACCCUGGUAGUCCACGCCCUAAACGAUGUCAACUGGUUGUUGGGAGGGUUUCUUCUCAGUAACGUAGCUAACGCGUGAAGUUGACCGCCUGGGGAGUACGGCCGCAAGGUUGAAACUCAAGGGAAUUGACGGGGACCCGCACAAGCGGUGGAUGAUGUGGUUUAAUUCGAUGCAACGCGAAAAACCUUACCUACCCUUGACAUGUCUAGAAGUUACCAGAGAUGGUUUCGUGCUCGAAAGAGAACUAGAACACAGGUGCUGCAUGGCCGUCGUCAGCUCGUGUCGUGAGAUGUUGGGUUAAGUCCCGCAACGAGCGCAACCCUUGUCAUUAGUUGCUACGUAAGGGCACUCUAAUGAGACUGCCGGUGACAAACCGGAGGAAGGUGGGGAUGACGUCAGGUCAUCAUGGCCCUUAUGGGUAGGGCUACACACGUCAUACAAUGGCCGGGACAGAGGGCAGCCAACCCGCGAGGGGGAGCUAAUCCCAGAAACCCGGUCGUAGUCCGGAUCGCAGUCUGCAACUCGACUGCGUGAAGUCGGAAUCGCUAGUAAUCGCGGAUCAGCUUGCCGCGGUGAAUACGUUCCCGGGUCUUGUACACACCGCCCGUCACACCAUGGGAGCGGGUUCUGCCAGAAGUAGUUAGCCUAACCGCAAGGAGGGCGAUUACCACGGCAGGGUUCGUGACUGGGGUGAAGUCGUAACAAGGUA